UAUAAAACAUUUUUUUUAGAUGUAUGAAUUGUGAUAUUUAGAAAACAUGAAACCAGCAGAGGGAAUAUCUGUUUAAGUUAAGUUCUGAUGACACACUUUGGUCUCCUCUUCAAGCGUACAAACUCAGCAGAUGUUUGCAAGAAAUAUUUUCACAGGAACAAACAUGAUGAUUAAUCUUUGAGAGAUAUCAGGAAGUCUCCCAUAGCAUAAUGUGAAUGACAGAAGAAAUCAUAAUUGAACUGAUGAAUUAUGAGUUGAAUUUAAAGGAACAAGAAAUGCGUUUCAUAAGAAAUCAAAUGAUCGACUUUCGUAAUUGCCCAAAAUAAUAAAUCAUACUAACUAGCAAGCAAGAAAUCUGUGUAAUUAUCCAGAAACUAUGUAUCAAACCAAACUGUCGCUAUUCUUCAAAACAAUGAUAUCUCUCAAGGCUUAUGCAAAACAACAAUGCAUUUCAUCUAUCUAAAGGCCUUUUUACAUACACAAACACAGCGUCACUUAUUUGACUGAUGUGUGUAAAAGGAAAAACAGCAUGGGUAUAAUUCAUAAUUCAAGGAUUUCUCUUAAAGAGCCAUCAUUCCAGGUCACUACUGCAUCACAUGACUUAAUAUUGUGCUCAAUUUGAAUCUCAGUUCUGAAUACCUAAGCAAAAAAAAAAAAAAAGCCUACUUUUUUUGCAUAAA